UACGGAGGAUGCAAGCGUUAUCCGGAAUGAUUGGGCGUAAAGCGUCCGCAGGUGGCAAUGUAAGUCUGCUGUCAAAGCGUCUGGCUCAACCAGAUAAAGGCAGUGGAAACUACAUAGCUAGAGUAAGGUAGGGGUAGAGGGAAUUCCUGGUGUAGCGGUGAAAUGCGUAGAGAUCAGGAGGAACACCAAUGGCGAAGGCAGCUCGCUGGGACGGUACUGACGCUGAGGCGCGAAAGCGUGGGGAGCAAACAGG
rnacentral:rRNA from 1 species